rfam:Oryza glumipatula chromosome 3, whole genome shotgun sequence.
AAUAAGUGUAGCCAUGAGUUUCCGCGUCCAAUUUUGAUCGUCCGUCUUAUUUAAAAUUUUUUUAUAAUUAGCAUUUUUAUUGUUAUGAGAUGAUAAAACAUGAAUAGUAUUUUACUCGUGACUUAUGUUUUUAAAUUUUUAAAAAAAUUUUUCAAAUAAGACAAACGGUCAAAGUUGGACGCGAAAAAAUAUAGCUGCACUUAUU